UAAGCAUAUCAAUAAGCGGAGGAAAAGAAACCAACAGGGAUUGCCCUAGUAACGGCGAGUGAAGCGGCAACAGCUCAAAUUUGAAAUCUGGCUCUUUCAGGGUCCGAGUUGUAAUUUGCAGAGGGCGCUUUGGCGUUGGCAGCGGUCCAAGUUCUUUGGAACAGGACGUCACAGAGGGUGAGAAUCCCGUACGUGGUCGCUAGCCUUCGCCGUGUAAAGCCCCUUCGACGAGUCGAGUUGUUUGGGAAUGCAGCUCUAAAUGGGAGGUAAAUUUCUUCUAAAGCUAAAUACUGGCCAGAGACCGAUAGCGCACAAGUAGAGUGAUCGAAAGAUGAAAAGCACUUUGGAAAGAGAGUCAAAUAGCACGUGAAAUUGUUGAAAGGGAAGCGCUUGCAGCCAGACUUGCCUGUAGUUGCUUAUCUGGACUUUUGUCCGGUGCACUCUUCUGCGGGCAGGCCAGCAUCAGUUUGGGCGGUUGGAUAAAGGUCUCUGUCAUGUACCUCCUUUCGGGGAGGCCUUAUAGGGGAGACGACAUGCAACCAGCCUGGACUGAGGUCCGCGCAUCUGCUAGGAUGCUGGCGUAAUGGCUGUAAGCGGCCCGUCUUGAAACACGGACCAAGGAGUCUAACAUCUAUGCGAGUGUUUGGGUGUCAAGCCCAGACGCGUAAUGAAAGUGAACGGAGGUGGGAACCCUUUGGGUGCACCAUCGACCGAUCCUGAUGUCUUCGGAUGGAUUUGAGUAAGAGCAUGGCUGUUGGGACCCGAAAGAUGGUGAACUAUGCUUGAAUAGGGUGAAGCCAGAGGAAACUCUGGUGGAGGCUCGCAGCGGUUCUGACGUGCAAAUCGAUCGUCAAAUUUGGGCAUAGGGGCGAAAGACU
rnacentral:rRNA from 1 species